UUCGCCCUUAGAGUUUGAUCCUGGCUCAGAACGAACGCUGGCGGCAUGCCUAACACAUGCAAGUCGAACGAAGGCUUCGGCCUUAGUGGCGCACGGGUGCGUAACGCGUGGGAAUCUGCCCUUAGGUUCGGAAUAACAGCUGGAAACGGCUGCUAAUACCGGAUGAUAUCGCGAGAUCAAAGAUUUAUCGCCUGAGGAUGAGCCCGCGUUGGAUUAGGUAGUUGGUGGGGUAAAGGCCUACCAAGCCGACGAUCCAUAGCUGGUCUGAGAGGAUGAUCAGCCACACUGGGACUGAGACACGGCCCAGACUCCUACGGGAGGCAGCAG
rnacentral:rRNA from 1 species